rnacentral:rRNA from 1 species
UACGUAGGGGGCGAGCGUUGUCCGGAUUCAUUGGGCGUAAAGAGCUCGUAGGCGGCUUGGCAAGUCGGGUGUGAAAACUUCAGGCUCAACCUGGAGCGGCCACUCGAUACUGCCAUGGCUUGAGUCCGGUAGGGGACCACGGAAUUCCUGGUGUAGCGGUGAAAUGCGUAGAGAUCAGGAAGAACACCGGUGGCGAAGGCGCUCUGCUAGGCCGCAACUGACACUGAGGGACGAAAGCUAGGGGAGCGAAUGGG